GAAGAACAGCUGGCGGGCCGCCUAAUACAUGCCAGUCCAGCGAACGGACGAGAAGGUUGCUUCUCUGAUGUUAGCGGCGGACGGGUGAGUAACACGAUGGAUAACCUACCUAUAAGACUAGGGUAACUUCUGGAAACCGGAGCUAAUACCGGAUAAUAUUUUGAACCGCAUGGUUCAAAAGUGAAAGACGGUCUUGCUGUCACUUAUAGAUGGAUGCCGCGCUGCAUUAGCUAGUUGGUAAGGGAACGGCUUACCAAGGCAACGAUACAUACCCGACCUGAGAGGGUGAUCGGCCGCACUGGAACUGAGACACGGUCCAGACUCCUACGGGAGGCAGCACUACUGAAUCUUCCGCACUGGGCGAAAGCCUGACGCACCAACGCCGCGUGAGUGGUGAAGGUCUUCGGAUCGUAAAACUCUGGUAUUAAGGAAGAACAUAUGUGUAAGUGACUGUGCGCAUCCUGCCCGUACCUAAUCAGAAAGCCACAGCUAACUACAUGCCAGCAGCCGCGGGAGUACGUAGGUGGCAAGCGUUAUCCGGAAUUAUUGGACGUAAAGCGCGCGUAGGCGGUUUUUUAAGUCUGAUGUGAAAGCCCACGGCUCAACCGUGGAGGGUCAUUGGAAACUGGAAAACUUGAGUGCAGAAGAGGAAAGUGGAAUUCCAUGUGUAGCGGUGAAAUGCGCAGAGAUAUGGAGGAACACCAGUGGCGAAGGCGACUUUCUGGUCUGUAACUGACGCUGAUGUGCGAAAGCGUGGGGAUCAAACAGGAUUAGAUACCCUGGUAGUCCACGCCGUAAACGAUGAGUGCUAAGUGUUAGGGGGUUUCCGCCCCUUAGUGCUGCAGCUAACGCAUUAAGCACUCCGCCUGGGGAGUACGACCGCAAGGUUGAAACUCAAAGGAAUUGACGGGGACCCGCACAAGCGGUGGAGCAUGUGGUUUAAUUCGAAGCAACGCGAAGAACCUUACCAAAUCUUGACAUCCUUUGACAACUCUAGAGAUAGAGCCUUCCCCUUCGGGGGACAAAGUGACAGGUGGUGCAUGGUUGUCGUCAGCUCGUGUCGUGAGAUGUUGGGUUAAGUCCCGCAACGAGCGCAACCCUUAAGCUUAGUUGCCAUCAUUAAGUUGGGCACUCUAAGUUGACUGCCGGUGACAAACCGGAGGAAGGUGGGGAUGACGUCAAAUCAUCAUGCCCCUUAUGAUUUGGGCUACACACGUGCUACAAUGGACAAUACAAAGGGCAGCGAAACCGCGAGGUCAAGCAAAUCCCAUAAAGUUGUUCUCAGUUCGGAUUGUAGUCUGCAACUCGACUACAUGAAGCUGGAAUCGCUAGUAAUCGUAGAUCAGCAUGCUACGGUGAAUACGUUCCCGGGUCU
rnacentral:rRNA from 1 species